rnacentral:rRNA from 1 species
GAUGAACGCUGGCGGCGUGCCUAAUACAUGCAAGUCGAGCGAACGGACGAGAAGCUUGCUUUUCUGAUGUUAGCGGCGGACGGGUGAGUAACACGUGGAUAACCUACCUAUAAGACUGGGAUAACUUCGUGAAACCGGAGCUAAUACCGGAUAAUAUUUUGAACCGCAUGGUUCAAGAGUGAAAGACGGUCUUGCUGUCACUUAUAGAUGGAUCCGCGCUGCAUUAGCUAGUUGGUAAGGUAACGGCUUACCAAGGCAACGAUGCAUAGCCGACCUGAGAGGGUGAUCGGCCACACUGGAACUGAGACACGGUCCAGACUCCUACGGGAGGCAGCAGUAGGGAAUAUUCCGCAAUGGGCGAAAGCCUGACGGAGCAACGCCGCGUGAGUGAUGAAGGUCUUCGGAUCGUAAAACUCUGUUAUUAGGGAAGAACAGAUGUGUAAGUAAAUGUGCACAUAUUGACGUUACCUAAUCAGAAAGCCACGGCUAACUACGUG